AUGAACGCUAGCGACAGGCCUAACACAUGCAAGUCGAGGGGCAGCACAAGGAGCAAUCUGAGGUGGCGACCGGACGCACGGGUGAGUAACACGUAUGCAACCUGCCUGUAAGCGGGGAAUAACCCGUUGAAAGACGGACUAAUACCGCAUAAUACUAAAUUACUGCAUGGUAAUUUAUUUAAACAUUUAUGGCUUACAGAUGGGCAUGCGCAUGAUUAGCUAGUUGGAGAGGUAACGGCUCCCCAAGGCAACGAUCAUUAGGGGUUCUGAGAGGAAGGUCCCCCACACUGGUACUGAGACACGGACCAGACUCCUACGGGAGGCAGCAGUGAGGAAUAUUGGUCAAUGGACGAGAGUCUGAACCAGCCAAGUCGCGUGCAGGAAGAAUGUUCCCUAUGGAUUGUAAACUGCUUUUGCAGGGGAAUAAAGUGCAUCACGUGUGAUGUUUUGUAUGUACUCUGCGAAUAAGGAUCGGCUAACUCCGUGCCAGCCGCCGC
rnacentral:rRNA from 1 species